rnacentral:rRNA from 1 species
UCGAAAGGUGUGCUACUACCUCAUAAUCUCUGAGGAGAAAAGCAGGGGAUUCGCAAGAACCUUGCGCUUUUGGAGCGGCCGAUUUCUGAUUAGCUAGUUGGUGCGGUAAAUGCUCACCAAGGCAUCGAUCAGUAGCUGGUCUGAGAGGACGACCAGCCACACUGGGACUGAGACACGGCCCAUACUCCUACUGGAGGCAGCAGUGGGGAAGUUUGGACAAUGGGGGCAACCCUGAUCCAGCCAUGCCGCGUGAGUGAAGAAGGCCUUCGGGUUGUAAAGCUCUUUCAGCCGGAACGAAACGGUCACGGACAAUACUCGUGACUAAUGACGGUACCGGAAGAAGAAGAACCGGCUAACUACGUGCCAGCAGCCGCGGUAAUACGUAGGGUGCGAGCGUUAAUCGGAAUUACUGGGCGUAAAGCGUGCGCAGGCGGUGUGGUAAGUCAGAUGUGAAAUCCCCGGGCUUAACCUGGGAACUGC